rnacentral:misc_RNA from 1 species
UUGCUACUGGAACCAAUAUUGGUGUUAUUGUUAGUGAGUUUGAUGCCAAAACUCUCCCAGCUGUAGCUUCUCUACCAACCCCAUCAGGAAAUAAGGAGCACUCUGCUGUUUAUGUAGUUGAAAGGGAAUUGAAGCUACUGAACUUUCAAUUGUCCAACACAGCGAAUCCAUCUCUUGGCAGCAAUGGUUCCUUAUCUGAUACAGGAAAGCACAGGGGAGACUCAGCUGAACCAUUGCAUGUCAAGCAGAUUAAGAAGCAUAUUAGUAUACCUGUUCCAC